rnacentral:lncRNA from 1 species
AAGGGCCCCAUCGAGAACCUCGCCGACCACAUCGCCGACCCCGUCGCCAACAACGCCUGGGCCUACGCCACCAACUUCGUCCCCGGCAAGUAGACACCUCCCUCCCCCCAUCCUCCUCCUCCUCCACCGCCGCCUCCGCCGGCGAGCUCCUCCCUCUUCGCCGCCUCUCUGUAUCUCCCUCCCCCUCCUCUCCUCUCCUCUCUCCCUGUGUAACAGUAUGAUGAUCCAAAGACGACUUCUUUACCCCCAUGUCUUCAUGCCUCCACCCAUCCGAAGAGGGGAGAGAAAUGUAGAGAGAU